rnacentral:rRNA from 1 species
AACGAACGCUGGCGGCAUGCCUAACACAUGCAAGUCGAACGAGACCUUCGGGUCUAGUGGCGCACGGGUGCGUAACGCGUGGGAACCUGCCCUUAGGUUCGGAAUAACUCCCCGAAAGGGGUGCUAAUACCGGAUAAUGUCUUCGGACCAAAGAUUUAUCGCCUUUGGAUGGGCCCGCGUUGGAUUAGCUAGUUGGUAGGGUAAAAGCCUACCAAGGCGCCGAUCCAUAGCUGGUCUGAGAGGAUGAUCAGCCACACUGGGACUGAGACACGGCCCAGACUCCUACGGGAGGCAGCAGUGGGGAAUAUUGGACAAUGGGCGAAAGCCUGAUCCAGCAAUGCCGCGUGAGUGAUGAAGGCCUUAGGGUUGUAAAGCUCUUUUACCCGGGAUGAUAAUGACAGUACCGGGAGAAUAAGCUCCGACUAACUCCGUG